UCCCUGGUAGUCCACUGGUUUAGACUCUGUGCUUUCAAUGCAGGGGACACAGGUUCAACCCCUGGCUGGGGAA
rfam:TPA: Bos taurus chromosome 21, whole genome shotgun sequence.